rnacentral:rRNA from 1 species
GAGUGAACAUGUCAAGAUUCCCUACGGGGGUGCAGCAGGCGCGAAAACUCUACAAUGCAGGCAACUGCGAUAGGGGAACAUCGAGUGAUCCCUCAUAUUGGCGUGGUCUGUCCACGUCGCCUAAAAAGCGGGUGUUAGCAAGGGCCGGGCAAGACCGGUGCCAGCCGCCGCGGUAAUACCGGCGGCUCGAGUGGUGGCCGAUAUUAUUGAGUCUAAAGGGUCCGUAGCCGGCUUUGCCUCUCGGGAAAUCCAGCGGCUUAACCGUUGGUCGUCCGGGGGGUACUACAUUGCUUGGGACUGGAGAGUAGGUCAGGAGGUACUCCGGGGGUAGGA